rnacentral:rRNA from 1 species
ACGAGUCCUAUGAGGACGAAGUGACUGACACCACGCUUCCAGGAAGAGCCACUAAGCUUCAGCUUAAGAAAAACCGUACCGCAAACCGACACAGGUAGGCAGGGUGAGAAUCCCAAGGCGCUUGAGAGAACUCGGGUGAAGGAACUAGGCAAAAUGGCACCGUAACUUCGGGAGAAGGUGCGCCCUUUGGUGUGGUCACGUGCGUGACUGAGCAUUGAAGGGUCGCAGUAACCUGGCCGCUGCGACUGUUUAUCAAAAACACAGCACUCUGCAAACACGAAAGUGGACGUAUAGGGCGUGACGCCUGCCCGGUGCUGGAAGGUUAAUUGAUGGGGUCAGCCGCAAGGCGAAGCUCUUGAUCGAGGCCCCAGUAAACGGCGGCCGUAACUAUAACGGUCCUAAGGUAGCGAAAUUCCUUGUCGGGUAAGUUCCGACCUGCACGAAUGGCGUAACGACAGCGGCGCUGUCUCCACCCGAGACUCAGUGAAAUUGAAAUCGCUGUGAAGAUGCAGCGUUCCCGCGGCAAGACGGAAAGACUCCGUGAACCUUUACUAUAGCUUUACACUGAACGUUGAGUUCUUCUGUGUAGGAUAGGUGGGAGGCUAUGAAACCAGGACGCUAGUUCUGGUGGAGCCAUCCUUGAAAUACCACCCUGAAGUGCUUGACGUUCUAACCUAGGCCCGUAAUCCGGGUCAGGGACCGUGUAUGGUGGGUAGUUUGACUGGGGCGGUCUCCUCCCAAAGAGUAACGGAGGAGCACGAAGGUACGCUCAGCGCGGUCGGACAUCGCGCACUGUGUGCAAAGGCAUAAGCGUGCUUGACUGCGAGAUCGACGGAUCAAGCAGGUACGAAAGUAGGUCUUAGUGAUCCGGUGGUUCUGUAUGGAAGGGCCAUCGCUCAACGGAUAAAAGGUACUCCGGGGAUAACAGGCUGAUACCGCCCAAGAGUUCAUAUCGACGGCGGUGUUUGGCACCUCGAUGUCGGCUCAUCACAUCCUGGGGCUGUAGCCGGUCCCAAGGGUAUGGCUGUUCGCCAUUUAAAGUGGUACGCGAGCUGGGUUCAGAACGUCGUGAGACAGUUCGGUCCCUAUCUGUCGUGGGCGUUGGAGAUUUGAGGGGGGCUGCUCCUAGUACGAGAGGACCGGAGUGGACGUUCCGCUGGUGUUCGGGUUGUCAUGCCCAUGGCAUUGCCCGGUAGCUACGAACGGAAGUGAUAACCGCUGAAAGCAUCUAAGCGGGAAGCACGCCCCAAGAUGAGAUCUCCCGAGAGCUUGACUCUCCUAAAGGCACCAUCAAGACUAGGUGGUUGAUAGGUCAGGUGUGGAAGCGCAGCAAUGCGUUGAGCUAACUGAUACUAAUGAGCCGUGAGGCUUGACCU